rnacentral:lncRNA from 1 species
UAUGAAAGAUUGGUUUGUAGUUUUUGGUUCUGUGAAGGAAAGGAGAUUGGAAUUUUCAAUAUCAUUAUCACCCACCCAAAUUCUAUUGUCUAAGGAAGUAGUGUUUGUUGAGUAGCCACAAUUGAUGGCUAAAUUGUAAUCAGGUUUGUAUGAGUUAGCAACUAGAGGGUACAAUAGUAAAAUGAGAGAUAGUAUGGUUAUUUGUGUGUGAAAUGUUUUGUUUAUUGGAUUUGCCAUGGUUGUGGAAGAAGAGAGUGUGAGGUAUAAUUUUGUUGUUGGUGUGGUUUAGGAUGCUAGAAGUUGCAUUUAUUUAUUGAGAGGUUGGA